AUAUAGUGUAGUUUGAAUAUGGAU
rnacentral:miRNA from 1 species